rnacentral:rRNA from 1 species
AUUGAACGCUGGCGGCAGGCCUAACACAUGCACGUCGAACGAGUGGCGUACGGGUGAGUAAUGUCUGGGCAACUGCCUGAUGGAGGGGGAUAACUACUGGAAACUGUAGCUAAUACCGCAUACCAUCAGAUGUUCCCAGAUGGGAUUAGCUUGUUGGGGGGGUAACGGCUAACCAAGGCGACGAUCCCUAGCUGGUCUGAGAGGAUGACCAGCCACACUGGAACUGAGACACGGUCCAGACUCCUACGGGAGGGAGCAGUGGGGAAUAUUGCACAAUGGGCGCAAGCCUGAUGCAGCCAUGGCGCGUGUAUGAAGAAGGCCUUCGGGGUGUAAAGUACUGUCAGCAGGGAGGCGUUACCCACAGAAGAAGCACCGGCUAACUCCGUGCCAGCAGCCGCGGUAAUUC